rnacentral:rRNA from 1 species
UACGUAGGGAGCAAGCGUUGUCCGGAAUCAUUGGGCGUAAAGCGCGCGUAGGUGGCCUCGUAAGUCCGCUGUGAAAGUCAAAGGCUCAACCUUUGAAAGCCGGUGGAUACUGUGAGGCUAGAGUACGGUAGGGGCAGAGGGAAUUUCCGGUGGAGCGGUGAAAUGCAUUGAGAUCGGAAAGAACACCAACGGCGAAAGCACUCUGCUGGGCCGACACUGACACUGAGAGACGAAAGCUAGGGGAGCAAAUGGG